CCCUUAGAUGUUCUGGGCUGCACGCGUGCUACACUGAUAUUGCCAAUAUGUCAUUCUUAUCCGAAAUGGAUUGGGUAAUCAAGUAAUGAAAUUUCAUGCUUGGAAUCGGUAAUUGCAAUUUUAUCGUGAACGAGGAAUUCCUAGUAAGCACUAGUCAUCAGCUAAUGUUGAUUAUGUCCCUGCCCUUUGUACACACCGCCCGUCGCUACUACUGAUUGGGUGUGCAAGUGAGAUGCUUAGACCCUUGUUGCAUGGUUCAUUAUUGUGCUCCGAAAGGAAAAAGUUUCAAGCUUGAGUGUCUAGAGGAAGUAAAAGUCGUAACA
rnacentral:rRNA from 1 species